AACGAACGCUGGCGGCAUGCCUAACACGUGCAAGUCGAACGAGACCUUCGGGUCUAGUGGCGCACGGGUGCGUAACGCGUGGGAAUCUGCCCUGGGGUUCGGAAUAACUCCCCGAAAGGGGUGCUAAUACCGGAUGAUGUCGUAAGACCAAAGAUUUAUCGCCCAAGGAUGAGCCAGAGUAGGAUUAGGUAGUUGGUGAGGUAACGGCUCACCAAGCCGACGAUCCUUAGCUGGUCUGAGAGGAUGAUCAGCCACACUGGGACUGAGACACGGCCCAGACUCCUACGGGAGGCAGCAGUGGGGAAUAUUGGACAAUGGGCGAAAGCCUGAUCCAGCAAUGCCGCGUGAGUGAUGAAGGCCUUAGGGUUGUAAAGCUCUUUUACCCGGGAUGAUAAUGACAGUACCGGGAGAAUAAGCCCCGGCUAACUCCGUGCCAGCAGCCGCCGUAAUAC
rnacentral:rRNA from 1 species